AGCAGCCGCGGUAAUUCCAGCUCCAAUAGCGUAUAUUAAAGUUGUUGCAGCUAAAAAGCUCGUAGUUGAAUUUCGGGAUCAAUAUAUCGGUCGUGCCAUUGGUACGUACUGGUAUCAUUGGUUUCUCCUUUCUGACGAACCAUGAUGUCAUUAAUUUGGUGUUAUGGGAAGUUAGGACUGUUACUUUGAAAAAAUUAGAGUGUUUAAAGCAGGCUUUAGCUUGAAUACAUUAGCAUGGAAUAAUGAAAUAGGACGUUCGAACCUAUUUUGUUGGUUUCUAGGAUCAACGUAAUGAUUAAUAGGGAUAGUUGGGGGCAUUAGUAUUCAAUUGUCAGAGGUGAAAUUCUUGGAUUUAUUGAAGACUAACUACCGCGAAAGCAUUUGCCAAGGAUGUUUUCAUUAAUCAAGAACGAAAGUUAGGGGAUCGAAGACGAUCAGAUACCGUCGUAGUCUUAACCAUAAACUAUGCCGACUAGGGAUCGGAUGAUGUUAAUUUUUAAUGACUCAUUCGGCGCCUUAC
rnacentral:rRNA from 1 species